rnacentral:rRNA from 1 species
CUGGAAAGGCGCGCGAUACAGGGUGACAGCCCCGUACACAAAAAUGCACAUGCUGUGAGCUCGAUGAGUAGGGCGGGACACGUGGUAUCCUGUCUGAAUAUGGGGGGACCAUCCUCCAAGGCUAAAUACUCCUGACUGACCGAUAGUGAACCAGUACCGUGAGGGAAAGGCGAAAAGAACCCCGGCGAGGGGAGUGAAAAAGAACCUGAAACCGUGUACGUACAAGCAGUGGGAGCACGCUUAGGCGUGUGACUGCGUACCUUUUGUAUAAUGGGUCAGCGACUUAUAUUCUGUAGCAAGGUUAACCGAAUAGGGGAGCCGAAGGGAAACCGAGUCUUAACUGGGCGUUAAGUUGCAGGGUAUAGACCCGAAACCCGGUGAUCUAGCCAUGGGCAGGUUGAAGGUUGGGUAACACUAACUGGAGGACCGAACCGACUAAUGUUGAAAAAUUAGCGGAUGACUUGUGGCUGGGGGUGAAAGGCCAAUCAAACCGGGAGAUAGCUGGUUCUCCCCGAAAGCUAUUUAGGUAGCGCCUCGUGAAUUCAUCUCCGGGGGUAGAGCACUGUUUCGGCAAGGGGGUCAUCCCGACUUACCAACCCGAUGCAAACUGCGAAUACCGGAGAAUGUUAUCACGGGAGACACACGGCGGGUGCUAACGUCCGUCGUGAAGAGGGAAACAACCCAGACCGCCAGCUAAGGUCCCAAAGUCAUGGUUAAGUGGGAAACGAUGUGGGAAGGCCCAGACAGCCAGGAUGUUGGCUUAGAAGCAGCCAUCAUUUAAAGAAAGCGUAAUAGCUCACUGGUCGAGUCGGCCUGCGCGGAAGAUGUAACGGGGCUAAACCAUGCACCGAAGCUGCGGCAGCGACGCUUAUGCGUUGUUGGGUAGGGGAGCGUUCUGUAAGCCUGUGAAGGUGUGCUGUGAGGCAUGCUGGAGGUAUCAGAAGUGCGAAUGCUGACAUAAGUAACGAUAAAGCGGGUGAAAAGCCCGCUCGCCGGAAGACCAAGGGUUCCUGUCCAACGUUAAUCGGGGCAGGGUGAGUCGACCCCUAAGGCGAGGCCGAAAGGCGUAGUCGAUGGGAAACAGGUUAAUAUUCCUGUACUUGGUGUUACUGCGAAGGGGGGACGGAGAAGGCUAUGUUGGCCGGGCGACGGUUGUCCCGGUUUAAGCGUGUAGGCUGGUUUUCCAGGCAAAUCCGGAAAAUCAAGGCUGAGGCGUGAUGACGAGGCACUACGGUGCUGAAGCAACAAAUGCCCUGCUUCCAGGAAAAGCCUCUAAGCAUCAGGUAACAUCAAAUCGUACCCCAAACCGACACAGGUGGUCAGGUAGAGAAUACCAAGGCGCUUGAGAGAACUCGGGUGAAGGAACUAGGCAAAAUGGUGCCGUAACUUCGGGAGAAGGCACGCUGAUAUGUAGGUGAAGUCCCUCGCGGAUGGAGCUGAAAUCAGUCGAAGAUACCAGCUGGCUGCAACUGUUUAUUAAAAACACAGCACUGUGCAAACACGAAAGUGGACGUAUACGGUGUGACGCCUGCCCGGUGC